GGUUAGACGGUACUCCACGGAAACGAAGUAUUCAAGGAGGCGGGAAUCUGGACAAAUCGUUGACGGCUGACAAUGAGGACAAGUUAGACGGUACUCCACGGCAACGAAGUAUUCAAGGAGGCGGGAAUCUGGACAAACCGUUGACGGCUGACAAUGAGGACAAAUAAGUCGAUUCAGCUCAUAAGGUUAAAAUGUUAUGUACAGCUGUAACAUCAUAAUGUUAUACCGGUUUAGGUUAGACGGUACUCCACGGCAACGAAGUAUUCAAGGAGGCGGGAAUCUGGACAAACCGUUGAAGGCUGACAAUGAGGACAAAUAAGUCGAUUCAGCUCAUAAGGUUAAAAUGUUAUGUACAGCUGUAACAUCAUAAUGUUAUACCGGUUUAGGUUAGACGGUACUCCACGGCAAGGAAGUAUUCAAGGAGGCGGGAAUCUGGACAAACCGUUGAAGGCUGACAAUGAGGACAAAUAAGUCGAUUCAGCUCAUAAGGUUAAAAUGUUAUGUACAGCUGUAACAUCAUAAUGUUAUACCGGUUUAGGUUAGACGGUACUCCACGGCAAGGAAGUAUUCAAGGAGGCGGGAAUCUGGACAAACCGUUGAAGGCUGACAAUGAGGACAAAUAAGUCGAUUCAGCUCAUAAGGUUAAAAUGUUAUGUACAGCUGUAACAUCAUAAUG